rnacentral:rRNA from 1 species
UCCACGCCGUAAACGAUGAAUACUAGGUGUCGGGGGGUACCACCCUCGGUGCCGCAGCAAACGCAUUAAGUAUUCCGCCGGGGGAGUACGGUCGCAAGAUUAAAACUCAAAGGAAUUGACGGGGACCCGCACAAGCAGCGGAGCAUGUGGUUUAAUUCGAAGCAACGCGAAGAACCUUACCUAGACUUGACAUCUCCUGAAUUACUCUUAAUCGAGGAAGUCCCUUCGGGGACAGGAAGACAGGGGGUGCAUGGUUGUCGUCAGCUCGUGUCGUGAGAUGUUGGGUUAAGUCCCGCAACGAGCGCAACCCUUAUUGUUAGUUGCUACUAUUAAGUUAAGCACUCUAACGAGACUGCCGCGGUUAACGGGGAGGAAGGUGGGGAGGAAGGCAACUCCUCAUGGCCCGUAUGUCUCGGGCUACACACGGGCUACAAUGGCUGGGACAACAGGCGCAACCCCGCGAGGGGGAGCAAAACUUGAAAGCCAGUCCCAGUUCGGAUUGUAGGCUGAAACUCGCCUACAUGAAGUUGGAGUUGCUAGUAAUCGCGAAUCAGCAUGUCGCGGUGAAUACGUUCCCGGGUCUUGUACACACCGCCCGUCACACCAUGAGAGCCGGUAACACCCGAAGCCCGUGAGGUAACCGUAAGGAGCCAGCGGUCGAAGGUGGGAUUGGUGAUUGGGGUGAAGUCGUAACAAGGUAGCCGUAGGAGAACCUGCGGCUGGAUCACCUCCUUUCUA